rnacentral:rRNA from 1 species
CGCCUUUUGAAUUAUAAAUAUAAAAGGUCCUGCCUGCCCAGUGACACUUGUUUCAACGGCCGCGGUAUCAUGACCGUGCAAAGGUAGCGUAAUCACUUGUCUUUUAAAUAAAGACCAGUAUGAAUGGCAAGACGAAACCUAACUGUCUCCCUAAGCUAAUCAAUGAAAUUGAUCUUCCCGUGCAGAAGCGGGAAUAAUAAUAUAAGACGAGAAGACCCUGUGGAGCUUCAAAAUUAAGCUAACAGAUAUAAUGCCUUAGCAUACAGUUUUAGGUUGGGGCGACCAUGAGGUAAAACAAAACCCUCAAGACGAAAACUAAGAAGGACACUUCAAAUAAAUAAUAAUAUAGUAAUUGACCCAAUAAUUGAUCAACGAACCAAGUUACCCCAGGGAUAACAGCGCAAUCUACUCAAAGAGCCCUUAUCGACGAGCAGGUUUACGACCUCGAUGUUGGAUCAGGACUCCCAAAUAAUGUAACAAUUAUUAAAGGUUCGUUUGUUCAACGAUUAAAGUCCU